GGGCUGCACAUUUGACUCACUUGAGGAAAGAUACGGUAACGGGAUGGCAUGCAUUCGGGAAAAGCAUGGAAAAUCAAACAAUCCCUGACCCUACUCUAGCAAAACCAGAGGGCCUGGCAGUCAGGCCAAGUGUGGGGUGCUGUGCCCACCACUGAGCUUUUCCUAGAUAUAAAUAACCGCUUGUGUUCCGUAAUUCCCAUCAAAAUAUUGACCACAAAUCAAUUCAUCUGCAAAAAUACUGAGCCUUGUUGGGAAGACUCCAGCACAGCCGCAGGGCCUGGACGGUUUGCUAGGAGCUGAAGAGCAAAGGCGAAUCUGCCGCUGAGUAGCAGAAGUGGUCUGUCUCUCAAGGUCACCGCAAAGACCAACACAGUCUCUGAGCUAAAAGAAUUCCAAAGGCUUCCUCCUUGACAGGAGUAGAUACAGUGGCGGUGGAGCCGGAAGACGAGACAGUUCCCAGCCAGGAGGUACACAGCCUUUUGAACAACUGUGUCUAUUGUAUGUGAGCUGAUGUUUGGAGAAGGUCAGGUGAAGGGCUACAGAAUGACAUGUCAGCUUGCAGCCCCAGGGGCUUCCUCUCCUGCCAUUAGGGAUCCAACAACUUGUAAAUUUAUAAUGA